rnacentral:RNase_P_RNA from 2 species
AAGGUAGACUCGGUGGUCGCUGGUCCGGAAGCAUAGGAUCAGAGGAAAGUCCGAGCUCCAGAGGGCAGGAUGGUCGUUAACGACGACUACCCCUCGCGAGGGGUCAGGAAAGUGCCACAGAAAGCAGACCGUCCCGUGCUCGAGGCGAUAUCGCCUCGAACGCGGGAUAAGGGUGAAACGGUGAGGUAAGAGCUCACCAGUCCCGGCGGCGACGUCGGGAGCUUGGCAAACCCCAUCCGGAGCAAGACCAAAUAGGAGGGGAAAGGGGUGGCCCGCUCCAUACCCUCGGGUUGGUCGCUUGAGAUAGGCGGUAACGUCUAUCCUAGAUAAAUGACCACCCCUCCCAUCGGGAGGACAGAACUCGGCUUAUGAUCUACCUGAGAU